AUUGAACGCUGCGGCAUGCCUUACACAUGCAAGUCGAACGGCAGCACGGGAGCAAUCCUGGUGGCGAGUGGCGAACGGGUGAGUAAUACAUCGGAACGUGCCCUGUCGUGGGGGAUAACUAGUCGAAAGAUUAGCUAAUACCGCAUACGACCUGAGGGUGAAAGCGGGGGACCGCAAGGCCUCGCGCGAUAGGAGCGGCCGAUGUCUGAUUAGCUAGUUGGUGGGGUAAAGGCCCACCAAGGCGACGAUCAGUAGCUGGUCUGAGAGGACGAUCAGCCACACUGGGACUGAGACACGGCCCAGACUCCUACGGGAGGCAGCAGUGGGGAAUUUUGGACAAUGGGGGCAACCCUGAUCCAGCAAUGCCGCGUGUGUGAAGAAGGCCUUCGGGUUGUAAAGCACUUUUGUCCGGAAAGAAAUCCCUUGCUCUAAUACAGCGGGGGGAUGACGGUACCGGAAGAAUAAGCACCGGCUAA
rnacentral:rRNA from 1 species